rnacentral:misc_RNA from 1 species
GAUGAAGAACGUAGCAAAAUGCGAUAAGUAAUGUGAAUUGCAGAAUUCAGUGAAUCAUCGAAUCUUUGAACGCACAUUGCGCCCGCUGGUAUUCCGGCGGGCAUGCCUGUUCGAGCGUCAUUUCAACCCCCAAGCCCCCGGGUUUGGUGUUGGGGAUCGGCUCUGCCUUCUGGCGGUGCCGCCCCCGAAAUACAUUGGCGGUCUCGCUGCAGCCUCCAUUGCGUAGUAGCUAACACCUCGCAACUGGAACGCGGCGCGGCCAUGCCGUAAAACCCCAACUUCUGAAUGUUGACCUCGGAUCAGGUAGGAAUACCCGCUGAACUUAAGCAUAUCAAUAAGCGGAGGA